CCUACGGGCGGCAGCAGUGAGGAAUAUUGGUCAAUGGCCGUAAGCCUGAACCAGCCAAGUCGCGUGAGGGAUGAAGGAUCUAUGGUUUGUAAACUUCUUUUAUAAGGGAAUAAAGGUAUCCACGUGUGGAUAUUUGCAUGUACCCUAUGAAUAAGCAUCGGCUAACUCCGUGCCAGCAGCCGCGGUAAUACGGAGGAUGCGAGCGUUAUCCGGAUUUAUUGGGUUUAAAGGGUGCGUAGGCGGUCCUUUAAGUCAGCGGUAAAAUUGCGGGGCUCAACACCGUAGAGCCGUUGAAACUGGCAGACUUGAGUUGGUGAGAAGUACGCGGAAUGCGUGGUGUAGCGGUGAAAUGCAUAGAUAUCGCGCAGAACCCCGAUUGCGAAGGCAGCGUACCGGCGCCAGACUGACGCUGAGGCACGAAAGCGUGGGGAUCGAACAGGAUUAGAUACCCGGGUAGUC
rnacentral:rRNA from 1 species